UUCAUUUUUCUCUACUUGUUACUUUUUUAAAAGCAUGCCACUAUUUUUCUCUACAGUCCAAUCUGUUGAUAUGAUGGACUCCCUGUAGAUGGGAGAUGCACCAAAAAUUUGCCAAAUUGGAGGAUCCUAACAAUUAUUCUUAAGAGCAGUAAGAACCCAUAUUCCGAGAUUUGUUUUGGGAGAUGAGUGUUUGAUGAUGCAGGCUGAAGUGUAUCAUUCGUACAUGGAAGUGUUACGUGGAUAUGAGAUUUUUAAUGCAGAUGGAGAGAUGUGGAGGAAGCAAAGAAAGACUGCAAGCUUGGAGUUCGCAUCAAAGAACUUGAGAGAUUCCAGUACUCUCGUAUUCAGAGACUAUGCCCUCAUGCUAUCAACUAUCUUGUGCCAAGCUUUUAUACAAAACCAACAAGUAGGCGUGCAGGAUGUCCAGGUAGUGCAAAAAGGUGGGCCCAAUCAGGAUGAGCACUUGGCCUGAAAAUUGAACAGGUCGACUCAGUGAGGAGGGCGACAACCAAUGAUCUGACCCAACAUACAGCUGUUGCCCAAUUGAUGUGUGGAUACACCUGUUUUUCAUGGUGGAAUCCACAUUUUGCAAGAAAGAAUUGGAUGUUCUACGCAUGUGCAAUUCCCACCGGCAACGAGAAAGGGUUAAGCAGAGGCUGGCACUUUAUCAUGGGGUGUUGCCCAUAUAUAUGUAGUUCUCCAAUGAUGCAGAAGAGACAUUCUCUCGAGCUCUCCUGCUGGUAUGGAAUUAUUGAAUGCUUGCACUCAUGGAUCUUGAUUGUUUUUAUUUCCCCUUGUUUUCCCCUUUAAUAGUUAAUUCUAUAAAAUUUU